AGGACCGAUGAUGAUGACUGGUGGCGUAUGAGUCAUGGCUGAUGAAUGUCAUGUGUCUGAAACUCUGAGGUCCAA